rnacentral:rRNA from 1 species
GACGAACGCUGGCGGCGUGCUUAACACAUGCAAGUCGAACGGAAAGGCCCUGCUUUUGUGGGGUGCUCGAGUGGCGAACGGGUGAGUAACACGUGAGUAACCUGCCCUUGACUUUGGGAUAACUUCAGGAAACUGGGGCUAAUACCGGAUAGGAGCUCCUGCUGCAUGGUGGGGGUUGGAAAGUUUCGGCGGUUGGGGAUGGACUCGCGGCUUAUCAGCUUGUUGGUGGGGUAGUGGCUUACCAAGGCUUUGACGGGUAGCCGGCCUGAGAGGGUGACCGGCCACAUUGGGACUGAGAUACGGCCCAGACUCCUACGGGAGGCAGCAGUGGGGAAUAUUGCACAAUGGGCGGAAGCCUGAUGCAGCAACGCCGCGUGCGGGAUGACGGCCUUCGGGUUGUAAACCGCUUUCGCCUGUGACGAAGCGUGAGUGACGGUAAUGGGUAAAGAAGCACCGGCUAAAUACGUGC